UGAGCAGAACUGGAAGCCAAUUCGGGUCCAUAUUUCGGGCGUCCGGAUGAGGGUCCGAAAGUUUACCUCGUGAGUAUCGUUGCGCUGACACGUGGCUGGUGGUUGGUGAGGUCUGCCGGAGCCGAAUGCGGGCGCAGCACACCGCGGGCAGAGAGUCUGAGGAGGAAGCUUUGUGUAGCCUGGAGGAUUCGGGCGCCCAUAAUAUGGGUCUGGGAGCCCAUAAUGUGGGUCCGGGCGCCCGGAAGUGCCCGAGUCUGUAGGGACACCAGAUUGCAGCAGCUGUUCUUGGGGCUUAUUCUACCAUUCCAGCACUCUAUAAAUAGGUGGAGAGUGAUCCUGUUUUCCAGCGACGACUUUCGGUGUUUUGGUUCGUGUGCGACGUAGGAAGGUCGGAUGGCGGUGAAACUUGGUUUGCUGGAUUCUAGACUUCCGGAGGAAUCCACGAAGCCCAGAAUUGCAGAUUUUGAUUGAGGGAAAGUUUGGACCUGAGUUAGAUAUCUUAGUUUACUCCACUGGAUUUGAAAUCUUCCUCACCAGAUUUGGAUGUGAUUAG